rnacentral:rRNA from 1 species
AGAGUUUGAUCCUGGCUCAGAUUGAACGCUGGCGGCAUGCCUUACACAUGCAAGUCGAACGGCAGCACGAGAGCUUGCUCUUGGUGGCGAGUGGCGAACGGGUGAGUAAUAUAUCGGAACGUACCCUAGAGUGGGGGAUAACGUAGCGAAAGUUACGCUAAUACCGCAUACGAUCUACGGAUGAAAGUGGGGGAUCGCAAGACCUCAUGCUCAUGGAGCGGCCGAUAUCUGAUUAGCUAGUUGGUGGGGUAAAAGCUCACCAAGGCGACGAUCAGUAGCUGGUCUGAGAGGACGACCAGCCACACUGGAACUGAGACACGGUCCAGACUCCUACGGGAGGCAGCAGUGGGGAAUUUUGGACAAUGGGCGCAAGCCUGAUCCAGCAAUGCCGCGUGAGUGAAGAAGGCCUUCGGGUUGUAAAGCUCUUUUGUCAGGGAAGAAACGGUGGACUCUAAUACAGAUCACUAAUGACGGUACCUGAGGAAUAAGCACCGGCUAACUACGUGCCAGCAGCCGCGGUAAUACGUAGGGUGCAAGCGUUAAUCGGAAUUACUGGGCGUAAAGCGUGCGCAGGCGGUUGUGCAAGACAGAUGUGAAAUCCCCGGGCUCAACCUGGGAAUUGCAUUUGUGACUGCACGGCUAGAGUGUGUCAGAGGGGGGUAGAAUUCCACGUGUAGCAGUGAAAUGCGUAGAGAUGUGGAGGAAUACCGAUGGCGAAGGCAGCCCCCUGGGAUAACACUGACGCUCAUGCACGAAAGCGUGGGGAGCAAACAGGAUUAGAUACCCUGGUAGUCCACGCCCUAAACGAUGUCUACUAGUUGUCGGGUCUUAAUUGACUUGGUAACGCAGCUAACGCGUGAAGUAGACCGCCUGGGGAGUACGGUCGCAAGAUUAAAACUCAAAGGAAUUGACGGGGACCCGCACAAGCGGUGGAUGAUGUGGAUUAAUUCGAUGCAACGCGAAAAACCUUACCUACCCUUGACAUGUCUGGAAUCCUUGAGAGAUCAGGGAGUGCUCGAAAGAGAAUCAGAACACAGGUGCUGCAUGGCUGUCGUCAGCUCGUGUCGUGAGAUGUUGGGUUAAGUCCCGCAACGAGCGCAACCCUUGUCAUUAGUUGCUACGAAAGGGCACUCUAAUGAGACUGCCGGUGACAAACCGGAGGAAGGUGGGGAUGACGUCAAGUCCUCAUGGCCCUUAUGGGUAGGGCUUCACACGUCAUACAAUGGUACAUACAGAGGGCCGCCAACCCGCGAGGGGGAGCUAAUCCCAGAAAGUGUAUCGUAGUCCGGAUUGUAGUCUGCAACUCGACUACAUGAAGUUGGAAUCGCUAGUAAUCGCGGAUCAGCAUGUCGCGGUGAAUACGUUCCCGGGUCUUGUACACGCCGCCCGUCACACCAUGGGAGCGGGUUUCACCAGAAGUGGGUAGCCUAACCGCAAGGAGGGCGCUCACCACGGUGGGAUUCGUGACUGGGGUGAAGUCGUAACAAGGUA